rnacentral:rRNA from 1 species
AGCGAGCGCUGGCGGCAGGCCUAACACAUGCAAGUCGAACGGACCCUUCGGGGUUAGUGGCGGACGGGUGAGUAACACGUGGGAACGUGCCCUUUGGUUCGGAACAACUCAGGGAAACUUGAGCUAAUACCGAAUGUGCCCUUCGGGGGAAAGAUUUAUCGCCAUUGGAGCGGCCCGCGUCUGAUUAGCUAGUUGGUGGGGUAAUGGCCUACCAAGGCGACGAUCAGUAGCUGGUCUGAGAGGAUGAUCAGCCACAUUGGGACUGAGACACGGACCAAACUCCUACGGGAGGCAGCAGUGGGGAAUCUUGCGCAAUGGGCGAAAGCCUGACGCAGCCAUGCCGCGUGAAUGAUGAAGGUCUUAGGAUUGUAAAAUUCUUUCACCGGGGACGAUAAUGACGGUACCCGGAGAAGAAGCCCCGGCUAACUUCGUGCCAGCCGCCGCAGUAACAC